UGUAGCAAUACAUUGGUGGCGACCGGCGCACGGGUGAGUAACGCGUAUGCAACCUACCUAUCAGAGGGGAAUAACCCGGCGAAAGUCGGACUAAUACCGCAUAAAACAGGGGUUCCACAUGGAAAUAUUUGUUAAAGAAUUAUCGCUGAUAGAUGGGCAUGCGUUCCAUUAGAUAGUUGGUGAGGUAACGGCUCACCAAGUCCACGAUGGAUAGGGGUUCUGAGAGGAAGGUCCCCCACACUGGUACUGAGACACGGACCAGACUCCUACGGGAGGCAGCAGUGAGGAAUAUUGGUCAAUGGGCGAGAGCCUGAACCAGCCAAGUCGCGUGAAGGAUGAAGGAUCUAUGGUUUGUAAACUUCUUUUAUAUGGGAAUAAAGUGAGGAACGUGUUCCUUUUUGUAUGUACCAUAUGAAUAAGCAUCGGCUAACUCCGUGCCAGCAGCCGCGGUAAUACGGAGGAUGCGAGCGUUAUCCGGAUUUAUUGGGUUUAAAGGGUGCGUAGGUGGUUAAUUAAGUCAGCGGUGAAAGUUUGUGGCUCAACCAUAAAAUUGCCGUUGAAACUGGUUGACUUGAGUAUAUUUGAGGUAGGCGGAAUGCGUGGUGUAGCGGUGAAAUGCAUAGAUAUCACGCAGAACUCCGAUUGCGAAGGCAGCUUACUAAACUAUAACUGACACUGAAGCACGAAAGCGUGGGGAUCAAACAGGAUUAGAUACCCUGGUAGUCCACGCAGUAAACGAUGAUUACUAGCUGUUUGCGAUACACAGUAAGCGGCACAGCGAAAGCGUUAAGUAAUCCACCUGAGGAGUACGCCGGCAACGGUGAAACUCAAAGGAAUUGACGGGGGCCCGCACAAGCGGAGGAACAUGUGGUUUAAU
rnacentral:rRNA from 1 species